GCGAACCACAAAUCGAUAACGUCAAACAAUCGGAACUUCUAACUCAUGAACAAAAUAAACAGCUGUAACAACUAUGAACAUAUCGGGCCCUGGUUUCGGACCCAGCGUACCCGCCCUACCAUGAGACGAUCACCUACACUCGUCUCCCUCAUUUGCCAUUAGAUGGCCAUCAGCCUGUGGCGGCUGUAAUGCCAACUCUCCCCAUCAAAGAAAAUUUAGACGGACAUUUCUCUCUUCAGAUACGGCAUGUUAUCUUCAAGCUGUUAUUGAUAAUUUCGUACUCGCGAACAUUUCCGGCGUUUUAAACCAGAAUACCUUUUUUAUGUAUUAAUAUGUAUUAAUAUGUGUUUCCAACGAAAGGCGUUGUUUUCCUUGUUUGUUUACCUUGUCUGCCUAAAGAGCUCUCUGGGUGGGGGGCACCUGUACCUGAGACGCAAUAAUCUUUGGGCCCUUUCCUUCCCGGCUGGCACUUUCGGAAAUUUACUUUAUUCAAACUAGUAGUAGAAAAAAAAAAUUGGUUCUCUUUCAGGGGGCACAAUGGGAAGUCUGCGUCUGACUCUGCCGUUUACUCAGGCGAGGAGGCACGAAAUGGAACAGACUCACUCGGAUGAUAUGGGCCGCCUCUUCGUCGUAUGAGUCCCUUCCAUAAUGGCUCGUCUCUCCGUCACGUGGUUUACGCCGACACUUGGCCGCGCUUUGAAAAUCCGACCCGUGAAUACCUGGGUUGAUCUGGCCAGCGUCCUCCGACGCGGGAUUCAAGCGUGGUGUGCCACCGAAUGGCUGCGGCUGCUCUAAUAGUGUAUCGCUUUUAUAGUGGUUUUAAAUGACGACAGUGUGUUUCUGGUGUAAUAUUGUUUCGUGUAUUAUCGCUCUUGUGCACUAUUUCUUUUGCAAUACGUUAGCACAUAAGGAAUUAUCUUGGCAAUUAAAUAAUAAAGACAGCCCGUCAUGAACAAAUGUA